UGAGGAAUAUUGGUCAAUGGACGAGAGUCUGAACCAGCCAAGUAGCGUGCAGGAUGACGGCCCUCCGGGUUGUAAACUGCUUUUAGUUGGGAAUAAAAAAGAUGACGUGUCAUCUAUUGUAUGUACCAUCAGAAAAAGGACCGGCUAAUUCCGUGCCAGCAGCCGCGGUAAUACGGAAGGUCCGGGCGUUAUCCGGAUUCAUUGGGUUUAAAGGGAGCGCAGGCCGCCCCUUAAGCGUGUUGUGAAAUGCCGCGGCUCAACCGUGGCACUGCAGCGCGAACUGGGGGGCUUGAGUGCGCGCAGCGCAGGCGGAACUCGUGGUGUAGCGGUGAAAUGCUUAGAUAUCACGAAGAACUCCGAUCGCGAAGGCAGCCUGCGGGAGCGCAACUGACGCUGA
rnacentral:rRNA from 1 species